AACGACUCUCGGCAACGGAUAUCCCGGCUCUCGCAUCGAUGAAGAACGUAGCGAAAUGCGAUACUUGGUGUGAAUUGCAGAAUCCCGUGAACCAUCGAGUCUUUGAACGCAAGUUGCCCCGAUGCCAUUAGGUUGAGGGCACGUCUGCCUGGGUGUCACGU
rnacentral:rRNA from 1 species